UCCGGCUUGACGCCGGCAGUCCCCCGACAGCCAUGCACCACCUGUAUACCGACCACAAGGGGGGCCGUAUCUCUACGGCUUUCCGGUAUAUGUCAAACCCAGGUAAGGUUCUUCGCGUUGCAUCGAAUUAAUCCACAUGCUCCGCCGCUUGUGCGGGCCCCCGUCAAUUCCUUUGAGUUUUAGCCUUGCGGCCGUACUCCCCAGGCGGGGCGCUUAAUGCGUUAGCUACGGCACGGAUCCCGUGGAAGGAAACCCACACCUAGCGCCCACCGUUUACGGCGUGGACUAC
rnacentral:misc_RNA from 1 species